rnacentral:lncRNA from 1 species
GCCUGGAAGGGUAGUGGUGGAAGUCAUGUUGGACAACCUCUUGGAGACAGGGUGGAGGAGGAAUGGGAUGGGCAGGCCUUGGGAAACUGUGUGUGGGCAGACCAGGAAGGGGCAAUGACUGGACUGUGAAAAAUGAAAGUAAUAAAAUAUUUUAAAAGAAGAAAAAAGAAACCUAGUCUAUAGUAGUACCCCUCAUAAUCUCAAAGAUAGAAAGAGAGAAUAAGAUGAAAGAUAAUAGACUAGAUACAGAGAUCACCAAAUAUAUGAUGAUCUUGAAAAACGUGGACUCUGAUUGAAUAACUUUCAUAUUGGUAGAUCCUGAAAGUUCUUUCUAAUAAGUCUCCAAUAAAAUGAACACUAUUGGUUAAAGCCAUACUUGGAGUUCUACAGAAUCCCCCAAUUUUUUUCACCUAUGGAUGCCAUCCCAGAGCUUAGUACCAUGAGUACAGCAUUGAAAAGGAUUAGGAUAAUUUCAUGAAGGACAUUUUGGAAGAUAUGUCACAAGUCCUAUUGCUUCACUUAAGUUAAAGUGUUAUUUCUUACCCAUGUUUAGAAACAACAUUGUGAGAAUUGGCUGAGAGCUGGAGAGGUUGCUUCUGGAUUUUGAAAAAUAUAGUCAUUUGAUGGAUAUCAGACACCUGUGCAUCCAGUGUCUAUAGAACAUAAGGUUCUUUUCUAUCCAGUGUCUGGAGACAUCAGAUUUAUGGCCCUACUAUGUGAGCAGUGGGAUUGAUGGUGAUGACUCAUUUUGGGUGAAGCACUAAGGUGGAUUUGUAUGUAUCUGGGAGUAAAUCUGUACUGGACAUAUUAAGCAGAAUUAUGUUCCCUCUAAAUUUGCAAUCUGGGUUCCUAAAUGCCAGUACUGAUAAAAUUGCUAGAACUAGAAAUACAGCCUUUAAUAUAUAGCCUAUGUAAAAUAAUAUCUUAUGCAUUGACACUAAUCUUAUAUGGCUAAUAUCGUAACAAGAUAUUGAGAAAAUAUCAGACGUAUGCUAUGGUUGUGCUUUAAAGUAAAGCCAGGUUUCAUAUUGAGAAAACAGAGUGUUCAUAAAGGCUAUUGACGUUUUACUUUGUUCUCAGAGAAAAGUAAGACAUAAGGAAUAAAAGUUGUGUCACUCACUAUUGUAUUAACAGUUUGGGAAUUGUGUUUGUUCAAUGCAAAGAUUAUAUAUUGUUUAAAAUGCUGAUAUGGUACAACAUUUGAAAAUCUCUCAGUGAAAUCAUCCAUAUAAACAAACCGAAAAAGAAUAAAACCUACACAAUCAUCUCGUCAGAAGUUGAAAAAAGCCAUUUAAAAAGUCCAAUACCCCUUCAUGAUAAAAGUCUUGAAGAGACCAGAGAUAAAGGGGAUAUACCUAAUCAGAAAAGACAAAUGACAGGAAUCUUUUAGCUAACAUCAAGUUAAAUGAAGAGAAACUCAGAGAUAUUUUACUAAAAUCAGAAACAUGAAAAGGCUAUUCUACCCCUUCACUACAACUUAGAACAAUAAGAAAACUGAAAGAGAUAAAAUGGAUACAAAUUACCACUAUUUGGAAAUGAUAUGAUAGUAUAAAUAAAUAGUCUCAAAUUUUCUAUCUGGGUGGGAACUCCUACAAAAGAUAAACACCCUCAGCAAAGUGGCUGUAUAUUAGGUUAACU